CGUACGUACAUGUGAAUAAAAAAUCCGGCCGAAAGUUGGUUGCUAUCGCAAUGGCUUGGCUAUUAUUCGAGCGAGUUUUGAACGCGCGGCUGCGACAACAGCUCAUAUGAACGCUAAACGUUGAAAAGAGCGAACAUCGGCAAAGUUUUCUCGCGGCGCACAUCCUUCAGUAAGGUAAUGUGAAAACGAAUUGAUGGUAAGAAAAUAAAAUACGUAAAGAGCGAGAGAAGCAAAUGAAAAAGGACAAUGAAAACUCACAAGUAAAGAGCGCUUGCAUUUUCCCUGAUUUCCAUGUCCAUUAGUUGCUGCUGGAUCGCCGGAGCAGUUAGUCAUUCUGAAUACGUGUUAUGAGGUUGAACUCAAAUAAUUUACAUCUAAUUUAAUUACCGGUAUAACAUACAUUUGUGUCUAAUUAUAGUUUCACUAUGAAAUAAAUAACAAUUCACUUUA